rnacentral:rRNA from 1 species
UACGGAGGGUGCAAGCGUUAAUCGGAAUUACUGGGCGUAAAGCGCACGUAGGCGGCCAAUUAAGUCGGAUGUGAAAUCCCCGGGCUUAACCUGGGAACUGCACCUGAUACUGGUUGGCUAGAAUCUGGGAGAGGGGAGUAGAAUUUCCGGUGUAGCGGUGAAAUGCAUAGAGAUCGGAAGGAAUACCAGUGGCGAAGGCGGCUCCCUGGACCAAGAUUGACGCUGAGGUGCGAAAGCGUGGGUAGCAAACAGG